CAAAAGUGUUUGCACCCACACCUCUAGACAAAUGCUCAUUCUGCCUCCAGAGGCCUGAUCUUAACAAGACCAGUCUAGGGGUUCAAAUAAAGGCCUGAAGAGCUGGGGAUUCAUUAUUUCCAUAGCCAGAAAUAGACCUUGGAAUUCAUGGCUCUGAAAGAAAAGUGGCACCAGUAUUGUUGCCUCCCUCAUACCCUCAAGGUCCCAGACGUGAUAGUCCUCUAGGAGCUCUGAAGAGUGGAGACCAGGGUAGAUGAUGGAUCACCGGGUAAACCAUGAAGAAUGCCGGGAUAUGGAGCAGCAGUAGUGACCACACCUACUGGGACAACCCAUCUUGUCACUGUCCUAUUAGACAAGGUCCAAGAUAGGCUGUUUGAAAGUACCUCACCUGGGAAGGCAAAUGCACCCCCAUGGACAAGAACUUCACAUGAAUUUUCAAGAUUGGCAGUGAACUUCACAGUGGAUGUGAUCUCACGGCUUAUAGCUGCUGAAGAAGAUUGACAUGAAAACAAGAAAUGUACCCAGGAUUCCAGGAUACUCAAUCCAAGAUGUAAGGGGAAGGAGAAUCCAACAAAAGGAUAUUCUCAAGUGUCCAAUUCACCUGGCCGCUGGUGCAUCUAGAAAGAAGGCUGGAAAAAGGAAGUGCUAUUGAUUGAACCUUAAGUCUCAGGACUCCUUUUAGUGCUGAUGCAGAACUUCUGUUUCAUUUUGACCUUAACUCUGAGUUUCCAUAUCCAGUUUUGCUUCUGAUUCUGGGUUGGACCCAGUGGAGGUCCC
rnacentral:lncRNA from 1 species